rnacentral:rRNA from 1 species
CAGAUUUGAUCCUGGCUCAGGAUGAACGCUAGCUACAGGCUUAACACAUGCAAGUCGAGGGGAAACGACAUCGAAAGCUUGCUUUUGAUGGGCGUCGACCGGCGCACGGGUGAGUAACGCGUAUCCAACCUGCCCAUCACUUGGGGAUAACCUUGCGAAAGUAAGACUAAUACCCAAUGAUAUCUCUAGAAGGCAUCUGAAAGAGAUUAAAGAUUUAUCGGUGAUGGAUGGGGAUGCGUCUGAUUAGCUUGUUGGCGGGGUAACGGCCACCAAAGCAACGAUCAGUAGGGGUUCUGAGAGGAAGGUCCCCCACAUUGGAACUGAGACACGGUCCAAACUCCUACGGGAGGCCA